ACGUGACUAAAUCCAGUAACUUUAAGGCACCUGGCAUUGAUAAAGUUCCAAAUUUUUGGUUAAAAAGGCUGACAGCACUGCACCACCAUUAUGCCGCGGCUUUCACAAAAAUAUUGAACGGAAAAGAGGACACACCAGACUGGCUAUCGACUGGGAACACAACCCUACUCCCAAAGACCAAGG